GGUUAUGGGUUGAGAAACCUCUUCUUUUCAACUUAAUACGUUCUCUACAAACACACCCGCAUGUGGACACACAAAACAGAUAACAGAGCCCAGCACACAAAGUCAGGAUGUGACAUCAUUCACAGGAAGAGAAACCAAACACUUUUUUAACUCUUUUCUACGUUGUCCACACUGCUGAGCAAAGUCAAAGCCCUUCUCGGACUGCUGAUCGACCAUCAGAGUGGAAAAGAUUCAGAAGAGAGGGAACAGCUGACUCUGACUCUCACAGCGAGUUUAAUCCUCUCUGAACCUUCAACAGCUUUCCACUACAUUCCAGCCACCCGCUGUAGGAUUUCAGUGAGAAAAGUCAGAUCUGGAAACAAGGGCUCCCAGAAAUCUUCACAUGACAGACACUGAGACCUGCUGACCUGAUUUCACCCAGGCUGUUCCCUCUAAUUCGCUCAGGAAGCUCAGUUUUAUCAAACUCCGACUUAUUCUUCAUUGUGGAGACCCUAAUCUCCCCUUAUCUUGGGGGAAGCGGCUGAGUCAAUGGCGUUGUGUCUUGGACAAGUGUUCAGCAAAGCCAAAACAUUCAGGCCAAGGAAGCGCUUUGAGCCUGGCACUCAGCGCUUCGAACUCUACAAGAAGGCCCAGGCCUCUCUCAAGUCAGGCCUGGACCUGAAGAAGGUGGUCCAGCUGCCCGAGGGGGAGAACCUCAAUGACUGGAUUGCAGUUCACGUGGUGGAUUUCUUUAACAGGAUUAACCUGAUCUACGGCACAGUCAGCGAAUAUUGCAGCGAGCGCACAUGCCCUAUCAUGUCUGGGGGUCUGAAGUACGAGUACAGAUGGCAGGAUGGCGACGACUACAGGAAACCCACCAAGCUGCCUGCUAUCAAGUAUAUGAACCUGCUGAUGGACUGGAUAGAGUCCCUCAUCAACAAUGAAGACAUCUUCCCCACCAGAGUGUGCCUUUUCCAAAGAACUUCCAGCAGGUGUGCAAGAAGAUCCUGAGCCGUCUCUUCAGAGUCUUUGUGCACGUUUACAUCCAUCACUUUGACAGCAUCUGCAGCAUGGGUGCCGAGGCCCACAUCAAUACCUGCUACAAACACUACUACUACUUCAUCUCAGAGUUCAGUCUCAUUGAUAACUCGGAGCUGGAACCACUGAGAGAGAUGACUGAGAGAAUUUGCACUUAAUGAGAAAAACAUGGAUAUAGAAGUUUACAUUAUGACGUAAUCUGAGCCCCAGGAGAGAACACCAUCUGUAAAACAUUCCAGACUUUGGACAUUAUCAUGGAUUUCAAAGCAUGCUGUUGGAGGUCAUUCAACUUUCCACUAUCCUCUGGAUGGUGGCGCUGUAUCUUCUAAACUGCACACUUUUUGUGGUGCUACAUCUUUAUACUUCUCUGUGUCGGCCUCUGUGAAAAUGCUGCUUUUUUUCUUUUCUUUUCUACUUGUAUUUUAUGUGAUUUUGCUUCUUAUCUGUUUUUAUGUGCUGUGCCUAACAUAUAACGUUUUGGUUAUAAAUGGUUUUUCAUUAAACUCAUCACAAAAUGU